rnacentral:rRNA from 1 species
AGCAGCCGCGGUAAUUCCAGCUCCAAUAGCGUAUAUUAAAGUUGCUGCAGUUAAAAAGCUCGUAGUUGAAUUUCGGGAUCAAUAUGUUGGUCGUGCCUCGGUACGUACUGGCAUUGUUGGUUUCUACCUUCUGACGAACCAUGAUGUCAUUCAUUUGGUGUCGUGGGAAAUCAGGGCUGUUACUUUGAAAAAAUUAGAGUGUUUAAAGCAGGCUCACGCUUGAAUACAUUAGCAUGGAAUAAUGAAAUAGGACGUUUGAUUCUAUUUUGUUGGUUUCUAGGAUCGACGUAAUGAUUAAUAGGGGUAGUUGGGGGCAUUAGUAUUCAAUUGUCAGAGGUGAAAUUCUUGGAUUUAUUGAAGACUAACUACUGCGAAAGCAUUUGCCAAGCAUGUUUUCAUUAAUCAAGAACGAAAGUUAGGGGAUCGAAGACG